rnacentral:misc_RNA from 1 species
AGCAGCCGCGGUAAUUCCAGCUCCAAUAGCGUAUAUUAAAGUUGUUGCAGUUAAAAGCUCGUAGUUGAAUUUCGGGAUCAAUAUAUUGGUCAUGCUUAGGUAUGUACUGGUAUUAUUGAUUUCUCCCUUCUGAAGAACCAUGAUGUCAUUAAUUUGAUGUCGUGGGGAAUCAGGACUGUUACUUUGAAAAAAUUAGAGUGUUUAAAGCAGGCUUUCGCUUGAAUACAUUAGCAUGGAAUAAUGAAAUAGGACGCUUGAUUCUAUUUUGUUGGUUUCUAGGAUCGACGUAAUGAUUAAUAGGGAUAGUUGGGGGCAUUAGUAUUCAAUUGUCAGAGGUGAAAUUCUUGGAUUUAUUGAAGACUAACUACUGCGAAAGCAUUUGCCAAGGAUGUUUUCAUUAAUCAAGAACGAAAGUUAGGGGAUCGAAGACGAUCAGAUACCGUCGUAGUCUUAACCAUAAACUAUGCCGACUAGGGAUCGGAUGANGUUAAUUUUUUAAUGACUCAUUCGGCGCCUUACG